rnacentral:rRNA from 1 species
GUAGUCAUAUGCUUGUCUCAAAGAUUAAGCCAUGCAUGUCUAAGUACAUGCCGUAGUAAGGCGAAACCGCGAAUGGCUCAUUAAAUCAGUUAUGGUUCCUUGGAUCGUACUUCCUUACUUGGAUAACUGUGGCAAUUCUAGAGCUAAUACAUGCAGCAGAGCUCCGACCUGCAAAGGGACGAGCGCUUUUAUUAGACCAAAACCAAUCGGACUCCUUCGCGGGUCCGUCAAACGUGGUGACUCUGUAUAACUUUGGGCUGAUCGCACGGGCUUGUCCCGGCGACGUAUCUUUCAAGUGUCUGCCUUAUCAACUGUCGAUGGUAGGUUACGCGCCUACCAUGGUCGUAACGGGUAACGGGGGAUCAGGGUUCGAUUCCGGAGAGGGAGCCUGAGAAACGGCUACCACAUCCAAGGAAGGCAGCAGGCGCGCAAAUUACCCACUCCCGGAACGGGGAGGUAGUGACGAAAAAUAACAAUACGGGACUCUUUUGAGACCCCGUAAUUGGAAUGAGAACACUUUAAAUCCUUUACCGAGGAUCCAUUGGAGGGAAAGUCUGGUGCCAGCAGCUGCGGUAACUCCAGCUCCAAUAGCGUAUAUUAAAGUUGUUGCGGUUAAAAAGCUCGUAGUUGGAUCUCAGUUCGAGACGGGUGGUCCGCCUCAUGGUGGUCACUGCCUGUUCUCAACACCGGCCGGUUUCUCUGGAUGAUCUUCACCGGUUGUCUUGAGUGACCGGCAAGUUUACUUUGAAAAAAUUAGAGUGCUCAAAGCAGGCGCGACGCCUGGAUAAUGGUGCAUGGAAUAAUGGAAUAGGACCUCGGUUCUAUUUUGUUGGUUUUUCGGAACCACGAGGUAAUGAUUAAGAGGGACAGACGGGGGCAUUCGUAUUGCAGCGCAGAGGGAAUCUGCCUC